CAGCCAGCCAGCUUUUGGCUCCUUCAGGGCCUGCCCCAGCUGCAGAAAGUUACUGCAGCUGGGGUCACCCCCUUUCCAGGGGAAUCUGGUAACUGAGGGUGAGAGGUGGCCAUGGAUAGAGACCUGGCCAUUUCAUUUCUGACAGUAAUAGGCAAACUCAUUCUAGAAUUUCCUGCCAGAGUGGCCAAGGCUUUAGGGGCCUGCAUCAUGGAUUGACUUCUUCCUCUCUCCAAUCUUCUUCUUCCCUUUUUCCUUCAAAGGUGGUGAGCCCUGAUACCCCAAGCUUUGUCUCUAGGUCUGCUUCUGGAGAACCCAGUCUGCAACACAGUGUUUGGAAGAGAAUGGCCUUGAUGACAUUUCCAGCAGAUGCAAGCAGAAUAUCGUGAUGUCUUCUGGGGGCAUGGGAUGGGGGUAGUUGCUCAACCUCGGGCUCUCAACCCUUCAGGUGGGCAGUGAGAAACCAUCCCUCUCACAGUGGGUGUCUAACCUGGGAGUGGUGUCUAACCUGGGGCGCAGGCUAAGAGCCCCUUUCAGGGAGGCCCAAGAGACACUGAGGCCUUGUCUGCCCCCCUUCCUCCACCUCCCCAAAUAGGUACUCUUUCGUCUCCCCACACCUGCUCUCCCCCUGUGCACUGCAAUACUGGCCCCCAGCAGGCAGUGACUGCAGAGGUUCCGGCCACUUUUUCGGGCUUGGCAUCGCUGUGGCCCUGCUCUGACUCAUCACAAGGCAGCAGGUGAUCAGAAAGGAGCAGCAGACCAUAUGCAGGGAAACUAAGUCAGAAUUUCGAGAGUCAUCUGUCUGCUUCACUUUAUGGGUGAGAAAUGAGAGGCUUGUGUACCCAAAGCCAUACAAAUAGUAGCUGAGGCAAGAACUGGAGCGAGGUUUCCUGAUUCUCAGUCAGGACCAGUCACUACCUGAUUUAUAUUUUCACUCCCUACUUGAUCUCAACAGAUAGUUGUUUUAACACUUAGAUUGCUUUACAAGAUUUUGAACACCCAAGAAAAUACUCCACAGAAAGGAAAGCUGGUUUGUCAUAUCUUCAGUGAAGCCCUCCCUGAGUCCACCAACUUGAAGUAUUUAUUCUGGUCACUUCCUUAGCUCUUUAUCUGUACCCUGAGCACUUUCUACAGGGCACUAUGUGAGCCUGAUUCAUCUGGGCCCAGUACAGCUCCACAUAUAAGAAAGUUCUUUAGUUGCCUUAAUAAAUCAAGUCCAGUUC
rnacentral:lncRNA from 12 species